rnacentral:rRNA from 1 species
UACAGAGGUCCCAAGCGUUGUUCGGAUUUACUGGGCGUAAAGGGUGCGUAGGCGGUGGGGUAAGUUUGAGGUGAAAGCUCCGGGCUCAACCCGGAAAAUGCCUUGAAAACUAUCCGGCUAGAGGGUUGGAGGGGAGACUGGAAUUCUCGGUGUAGCAGUGAAAUGCGUAGAUCUCGAGAGGAACACCAGUGGCGAAGGCGGGUCUCUGGACAACACCUGACGCUGAGGCGCGAAAGCCAGGGGAGCAAACGGG